UAUCUACAGGCUUAACACAUGCAAGUCGAGGGGCAGCAUGGUCUUAGCUUGCUAAGGCCGAUGGCGACCGGCGCACGGGUGAGUAACACGUAUCCAACCUGCCGUCUACUCUUGGACAGCCUUCUGAAAGGAAGAUUAAUACAAGAUGGCAUCAUGAGUCCGCAUGUUCACAUGAUUAAAGGUAUUCCGGUAGACGAUGGGGAUGCGUUCCAUUAGAUAGUAGGCGGGGUAACGGCCCACCUAGUCUUCGAUGGAUAGGGGUUCUGAGAGGAAGGUCCCCCACAUUGGAACUGAGACACGGUCCAAACUCCUACGGGAGGCAGCAGUGAGGAAUAUUGGUCAAUGGGCGAGAGCCUGAACCAGCCAAGUAGCGUGAAGGAUGACUGCCCUAUGGGUUGUAAACUUCUUUUAUAAAGGAAUAAAGUCGGGUAUGCAUACCCGUUUGCAUGUACUUUAUGAAUAAGGAUCGGCUAACUCCGUGCCAGCAGCCGCGGUAAUACGGAGGAUCCGAGCGUUAUCCGGAUUUAUUGGGUUUAAAGGGAGCGUAGAUGGAUGUUUAAGUCAGUUGUGAAAGUUUGCGGCUCAACCGUAAAAUUGCAGUUGAUACUGGAUAUCUUGAGUGCAGUUGAGGCAGGCGGAAUUCGUGGUGUAGCGGUGAAAUGCUUAGAUAUCACGAAGAACUCCGAUUGCGAAGGCAGCCUGCUAAGCUGCAACUGACAUUGAGGCUCGAAAGUGUGGGUAUCAAACAGGAUUAGAUACCCUGGUAGUCCACACGGUAAACGAUGAAUACUCGCUGUUUGCGAUAUACGGCAAGCGGCCAAGCGAAAGCGUUAAGUAUUCCACCUGGGGAGUACGCCGGCAACGGUGAAACUCAAAGGAAUUGACGGGGGCCCGCACAAGCGGAGGAACAUGUGGUUUAAUUCGAUGAUACGCGAGGAACCUUACCCGGGCUUAAAUUGCAGAUGAAUUACGGUGAAAGCCGUAAGCCGCAAGGCAUCUGUGAAGGUGCUGCAUGGUUGUCGUCAGCUCGUGCCGUGAGGUGUCGGCUUAAGUGCCAUAACGAGCGCAACCCUUGUUGUCAGUUACUAACAGGUUCCGCUGAGGACUCUGACAAGACUGCCAUCGUAAGAUGUGAGGAAGGUGGGGAUGACGUCAAAUCAGCACGGCCCUUACGUCCGGGGCUACACACGUGUUACAAUGGGGGGUACAGAGGGCCGCUACCACGCGAGUGGAUGCCAAUCCCAAAAACCUCUCUCAGUUCGGACUGGAGUCUGCAACCCGACUCCACGAAGCUGGAUUCGCUAGUAAUCGCGCAUCAGCCACGGCGCGGUGAAUACGUUCCCGGGCCUUGUACACACCGCCCGUCAAGCCAUGGGAGCCGGGGGUACCUGAAGUGCGUAACCGCGAGGAGCGCCCUAGGGUAAAACUGGUGACUGGGGCUAAG
rnacentral:rRNA from 1 species